AGAUAUGCCAGGUUCACGUUGGCCUUGCGGCCGUCGAUGAUGGGGUUCGGGUCUUUGCAAGCCCUCUCAGCUGCCGCCCGGUCGGCCAUGGUCACCUGGUGGAGCAGAGACACAUCAGGGGCUGCCGUGGGGGGAACCAGGGGCGAAAGGGGCAGACGGCUCCGCCCUGGCACCGGAUGCUGCCACCCCUCUCUUCCCUUCCUCUGAGGGUGCCUGUGACCCAGGGUCCUUGAGCCAAAGCUCCUCUGAACCCUACCUGGGGCUCUCCCACAAAGAUGCCUCCUGGAUUCCAGCUCCUCCCGUCAAAGUUCAAGGCCUGGGAAAUGUGGCCUUCAAGGACAAAAAUAAUCCCCUGCGGGGAUAGGGCAAAAAUGAACCCCGAAGGGAGCUUGGGGGGCCGCCUGGACUUGCCCACCAGUGAGGGCCGAGACUUUCCUCUGAGAAGGAGUUUGCGACGCUAUGCUUGGAAGGACUUUAACGCCAGGAUAACUGCCUUGGGUCCCUUGGUCAGAAUUAGUUCUGACCUGAGAAUGCUUCACAGAAAGGAGGACAUCUGACCUGCGGGGUAUCAUGGGGAUGAAGGAGGACACCCCGCCCCACAUGGAAGGAGCAACAGACACGGAGCACAGCAGAGGCAUGAACGGCAUGCCAAGAAAGCUCUAGAAGUUUUGCUCAACAGUGACCACUAAUUCUCAUAAUAUACAAAGUGUAGUUUUUCUGAACAGUAACUCAAGCAGCAAGCUAAUAACAUCAAUCAUAUGUGAUCAUGACUUUGCACUGGAGAUAACUGUCCUUGAACUAAGAACAAUGAAAAACCCCUGAAGCAAAUUUCUCUUUUAAACUAAAAAGAUGCUAAUUUAUGUAACCCCCACAAUAAGCUGACAUUAACUGCUUAAAUGAAUGAGAUUUUACUUCAAUUUUUAAACAGCACUCAAAGCAA
rnacentral:lncRNA from 1 species